CAAUAGCGUAUAUUAAAGUUGUUGCAGUUAAAAAGCUCGUAGUUGGAUUUCUGAUCGAGACAUCAGGUCGGGUCCGAGAGGAUCAUGUACUUUGAUUUUGUUCUGAUCAUCCUUGGGGAGAGCAUUUCUGGCAUUCAGUUGUCGGGAUUGGGAUCCUCAUCGUUUACUGUGAAAAAAUUAGAGUGUUCAAAGCAGGCCUCGGCCUCUGAAUACAUUAGCAUGGAAUAAUAAGAUAGGACUUUGGUGGUCUAUUUUGUUGGUUUGCACGCCAAAGUAAUGAUUAAUAGGGAUAGUUGGGGGUAUUCGUAUUCAAUUGUCAGAGGUGAAAUUCUUGGAUUUAUGGAAGACGAACUACUGCGAAAGCAUUUACCAAGGAUGUUUUCAUUAA
rnacentral:rRNA from 1 species